CCUACGUGUGGCAGCAGUGAGGAAUAUUGGUCAAUGGGCGCGAGCCUGAACCAGCCAAGUAGCGUGAAGGCUGACUGCCCUACGGGUUGUAAACUUCUUUUAUAAAGGAAUAAAGUGAGGCACGUGUGCCUUUUUGUAUGUACUUUAUGAAUAAGGAUCGGCUAACUCCGUGCCAGCCGCCGCGGUAAUACGGAGGAUCCGAGCGUUAUCCGGAUUUAUUUGGUUUAACGGGGGCGUAGAUGGGUUGAUAAGUCAGUUGUGAAAGUUUGCGGCUCAACCGUAAAAUUGCAAUUGAUACUGGCAGUCGUGAGUACAGUUGAGGUAGGCGGAAUUCGUGGUGUAGCGGUGAAAUGCUUAGAUAUCACGAAGAACUCCGAUUGCGAAGGCAGCUUACUAAACUGCCACUGACAUUGAUGCUCGAAAGUGUGGGUAUCAAACAGGAUUAGAUACCCUGGUAGUC
rnacentral:rRNA from 1 species